rnacentral:rRNA from 1 species
UACGGAGGGUGCAAGCGUUAUCCGGAUUCACUGGGUUUAAAGGGUGCGUAGGUGGGCAGGUAAGUCAGUGGUGAAAUCUCCGGGCUUAACCCGGAAACUGCCGUUGAUACUAUUUGUCUUGAAUAUAGUGGAGGUGAGCGGAAUAUGUCAUGUGGCGGUGAAAUGCUUAGAUAUGACAUAGAACAUCGAUUGCGAAGGCAGCUCGCUACACUAUUAUUGACACUGAGGCACGAAAGCGUGGGGAUCAAACAGG